rnacentral:tRNA from 1 species
CCACCUCCAAGGACGAUUAGCUCAGCGGGAGAGCGCUUCCCUGACACGGAAGAGGUCACUGGUUCAAUCCCAGU